ensembl:lncRNA
UCCUCAAAAUUUGAAAUAAAACAUCAAAUUUAACAUUCCUUUCAUUUGCCUGAUUUUUUCUUAUUAUUUUAUAAUAUAUCUAAAAAAAUACCUGAUUUUUAAAAUGAAAAAAAAAAAAAAAAUAAAUAAAUAAAUAAGUAAAUAACAAAAAAGAGAAAAUAGUACUAAAUAUAUAUUAUUAAUGUUUUUUUAAUAUGUGAUUUAGAAACUUAAACUUUUAAACUCAUUUUUAAGAUUUCUCAUCAUCAUCUUAUUAUUAUUAUUAUUAUUAUUCUUUUUUUUUUUUCAUUUUAAAUAUGUCUACAAUUGUCAUAAACAUUAUGUAUAAUUAAAAAAUUAAUGUUUGAAGUUUCAUUAGGGUAUGAUUUGGUUUAGACUUUUCUUUUUUUUUUUUUUUUUUUGUUUUUUUAAAAAAAAAAAAUUUUAUAUUUUUUUUUUUUAAAACAAAAAUAUAGAAGUUUUUAAUGUUCAUCAAGUUAUAAAAGAGAAAAAAUUUUACAUACUUUUUUUUUUUUAAUAAAUACGUGCAAAUUUCAUUUUAAUUGUGUGUUUUCUUCCUUACACAUAAGAAUUUAUAUCUUCUGUGUGCACUAAUGUGAUAUGUACAUAUGUGGUACAUGUUUAAAAAUACAAUAUACAUUAAAUCUCUUUAAAUACGAUACAUAUAUAAUAUAAAACAAAACACUAUUUUUUUUUUUUUUUUUAGCAUUAAUCUAACGUUUUAUAACAUUUAUUAUGUUAAUAAAAACAUGUAGAAAGCAUAUUUAUUAUAUCUUCCGCUGAUAUCAUUUUUGCAUAAUUUAAUUAAAACGGUUAAAAGUUAAGAUUUUAUAUAUAUAAAUAUAUAUGUACGUGCAAAAGCAAAAACAAAAUGGAAUAUGAAGGAGAAACGUUUCAAUUGACGACUUACCAAAUAAAUAAAACAGUGAAAGCUUUUAAAUAUUUGGAUAAAAAAAAAAAGGGAUUACUAAAAUUUGAUUUAUUAGGAAGUUUAUUACGAUGCAGUGGAUAUAAUGUAUCGUUAAGAGAAAUACAAAAUAUCAAAGAAAAAAUUAUAGAAAAUAAGAUAAAAAGAAAAAAUAAAGAAAUCAUAGAAAAAAGAGAAAACGAAAUAUUACAGGAUGAAGGAACAAAUAAACUAGAUAAAGACAAUUUAAAUAAUAGUAGUAAUAAUAAAAAAAAUAAUGCUGAUGAUGAUUAUGAUGACAAUAUGUCGGAAUUGUUAAACAAUUUUAAGAAUUAUGAUAAUUUUAUGGAGUUAGAAAAAAAAAAAAAAGAAAUGGAAAAAAAGGGAGAAGAAGAUAAAAAUCAAUUUAGUAUAAAAGAAUUUUUUCAAAUUAUACAAAUACCAAAUAUAACAAAUGAAACAAAACCUGCAAAUGUUUUAAAUUCUUUUGAAUUAUUUGACGAAGAAGGAAAUGGAAAAAUAUCAAUAAAAAAGUUAAGAUUUAUUCUUCAAUAUUUAGGAGAACCCUUAAGCAAUAUAGAGUUUGAUGAGUUUUUCGAAUGGAUGAAAACGGUAGGUGUUUGUUUAUUAGCACAUUUAUUUCAAAAUAAUUAAAUAUGUUAACAUAUGCUCAUGUACAUGCAUAACAUUUGUUGUUUAUAAUAAAUGUUACUUGUGUAUUACA